GGUGGGGAAGCCACAUCAGCCCUCAGGGAGAAGCUUAUGUGUUCUGCAUUUUAAUAAUGGGAUUAAUCUCUGAGAAAAACCUGCCACACCUUGGGAGUGGAUCCUCUGUCUCAGCACAGUUCAGAGAGAAGCUCUUUAGUCUGAUGAAGCCCCACUUGUUUAUUUUUUCUUUUGUUUCCUUUUUCUGAGAAGACAUGGCAACACCUUGUUUUUUUACCAAGGCAGAAAAUCUUUCUCAUCACCUCUCUAGAAGACUUCUUCACAUCACUGGCCAGAACCAGGGCCCAUCAACCACUUCUAGGUACAAAGUUAGCUUUAAAAUGCCUUUGGCAUUUUCAUCCUUUGCCGGGGAAGAGGGGGUCUGCAACAAGAAGGAAGAGGGAGAGGGGACUGAUGGAUAGUUGGCGACUGACAGUGACUGCUGCCGACCCAACGGAUGAAGGGAUGGUGGAUCUGCUGCAGAGGAAGAAGAAGACCAAAUCCUUGGGGCUUGUAGGAUGAAGAGGAGGAGGGCUCUUGGGGUUGAGAAUCGCCUGUGUCUUGGAGUCCCAAGCACAACCAUGGACUGUGUCUUUGGUGUGAGAGAUGCUCCACCCACACUGGGGCUGGGGUUUACUUAAAUCAUGAGAUCAAAGCUG